UACGUAGGGGGCAAGCGUUGUCCGGAAUCAUUGGGCGUAAAGAGCGUGUAGGCGGCUCGAUAAGUCUGCUGUAAAAGUCCAGGGCUCAACCCUGGAAGGCCGGUGGAAACUGUCGGGCUAGAGUCCGGAAGAGGCGAGUGGAAUUCCCGGUGUAGCGGUGAAAUGCGCAGAUAUCGGGAGGAACACCAAUGGCGAAGGCAGCUCGCUGGGACGUCACUGACGCUGAGACGCGAAAGCGUGGGGAGCAAACAGG
rnacentral:rRNA from 1 species